GCCAUCGAACCUCUAAUUCAUCAAUCUCCUUGCAGCUGGCAGGGAUAACUGGCCCAAGGGGGCGAGGUCUCUGCUGGCCACCUGGAGCCAAGAUGACUGUCAGGACAGGAGAGAAGAGGAAAGGACAGGGACCACAGUGGUGGGGGACAGAAGCGGAGAAGGGAGAUGAUACCGUGAUCAGUUUGCCCCAAGAGCUUGUCUUGGGAGCCUCUUGAGGAGCCAGGUCAGAGUUGAACGCAGAAUUUUAUGAUGUACAGAAAGGCACACAGCUGCCAUGUCGUGAAAAAGCUGGUAGCAC